AGCUUCCCCAGCACAGGCCUGGGCUGAGAUGCCUGCCCUCGAUCUGUUUGAGCAGUCUCCUCCUCUCCAGGCAGGGAAGAUGGUUCCCCUUUCUCCACAUCCUCACCAA